rnacentral:rRNA from 1 species
UACAGAGGGUGCAAGCGUUAAUCGGAAUUACUGGGCGUAAAGCGCGCGUAGGUGGUUUGUUAAGUUGGAUGUGAAACUCCCCGGGCUCAACCUGGGAACUGCAUUACAAAACUGACAAGCUAGAGUAUGGUAGAGGGUGGUGGAAUUUCCUGUGUAGCGGUGAAAUGCGUAGAUAUAGGAAGGAACACCAGUGGCGAAGCGGGCUCUGGCUAUAACUGACGCUNAGGUGCGAAAGCU